UGAGUUGGCUGGACAGUCGCCGCUUAAGGUAACUUAAGGGGAGGAAAGUCCGGGCUCCAUAGGGCAAAGUGCCAGGUAACGCCUGGGAGGUGAAAGCCUACGGAGAGUGCCGCAGAAAAUAACCGCCUAAGCGCUAUGCGCCGGUAAGGGUGAAAAGGUGCGGUAAGAGCGCACCGCAUGACUGGUAACAGUUCAUGGCUAGGUAAACCCCACUGGGAGCAAGACCAAAUAGGAAUCCAAUAGGUGUGGCCCGCACUGGAUUCGGGUAGGUUGCUUGAGGUGAUUAGCGAUAAUCAUCCUAGAUGAAUGACUGUCCACGACAGAACCCGGCUUAUAGGCCAACUCAUACU
rfam:Oblitimonas alkaliphila strain E5571 chromosome.